UUUUAAUAAAUAAAGGUUUUGUUUUCCUACAAAUAUACCUAAGUCAUGGAGGGUAAGGGAAGAAAAAUCCACACAUAAUAGUGUCCAAAGGAUCAGUGUCACUUAACAACAUUAUCUGGAAAAGUCACUGCCAAGGUCAAGCAGCCACUCCAAAUGAAUAUAUUCAUCAGGGCUUAAGAGCUGCUCCUCUACCCGUGAAAACAGAGAAGGCAACUGUGUGUUCACUUUACCAAGAGCCCGGCCAACAGAAAAAGCAGGAGAGGAAAGGCUACUGGAGUCCGUAGGCUGGUGAAUGGGACAAGCUCAACCACACAAGCUGGUUUUUUGUUACAGAGCUGAAAUCUUCUGAGAAACUGAGUCAACAUGUAGACCCGCCUUCAAACCCAGAUGCUUGAAAUCAAGUCGGAAAGAUUUCAGGUGUCGCUCAGAGUAAAUGAAAUGAGUUUAUCGAAGGAGCAGGCAAAGGUUUUACGGUUAGGAGGAAUUAGCCUUACCUUCCGGAAGCUGGUCUGUGAAAAGGGUCACAAAAGUCUCUCCCCUCAAAGUAAACCUGGCUCCUCUUAUCAAAGUCCUUACCUGCCUGCAUUUCCUUGCACAUAACAGGUAGUUGGCUGAGGAAUGUGACAUGGACUGUCCACUUAGGCCAGACAGGGCUGCAGGUCAACUGCUUGUUUGGCAAAGAAAGCAUCUGAGUGUCAGCACCGUGGGUCCAUUUUAUAGAAUUAUUCUCUUCACCUUGAGUUCCUCCCAUCCUCAUCUGUCUGUCCCCUAAAAUUUAGAACCUGCAGCUGCCCUCAAUUCUCUGUUGCACAUCAGAGAGAAGUUCUUGAGAUUGAGGGCAACACACAGUAUUUGCAGUUUCUUUUCUUUUCCCUAUUACUUUCCUAAACAGUGAGACUUUCUCACAUUUCCACUAAUUUUCUAAGAGCAUAAACACCUGCAUUGCAUAAUAACCUUUGUGCAUUGGUGCUGGAGGGCGCCCUGCUGCCGGCUCUGGGUCUCACAGGGGAGACAGCCAUCUCUCCUGUGCACAUCUCUCCCCGACAGUAUAUCUGGAAUAUUCAUCCCUUUCUAUAAAGCUGGUGUAAAAUGA